GAGGCGCCCGGCGCGCGCCCCGCAGCCCACCCGCGCCGCGGCCGGAGGAGGGGCGCUGUCCCGGCGCGCAAGGGAGCCGCGCGAGGACCCCAAGUUGCGGGCGCGGCGCGUCCUGGCGGCCCUGCGUCUCCGCCGCCAGGCGAGGCGCCCCCAGGGCUCCCGGAGGCCCGGCGGGGAGCGGCGAGUCAGGUUGCACCCGCACCCCGAGCCCGCGAGGGGGCCCCGGGGGACCUCGCUCCCGGCCUCGCCAGGCUCGGCUGGACCCCGGGCCGGGGACCGCGGACGCCUCGGAGCGGAAGCCCCGGCAGGUGGAGGAGCUGCGGGGGAGCUGUCCUUGCGCGCGGGCUUCGGCUGAGCGGAACUCGAAACUCGGGGGCCCAGCGCCCCGCUCCCGCGCCCGCGCCCGGCUGGCAGGGGCCCGGCUUCUCGGGUCCUGCGAGGUCGCCGCAGGGCGAGUGGCCCGGCUGGCGCUAGCUUCGGCUCCCGGGAGAACUUGCUUGAGGCUGUGCAGCUAGAGAGCGCUCGCUGGCUUCCUCCGGAGUUCGGACGUUCGGUGCUUUAAUCGAGAUUUUCCUCCUGGGGGAGCUGUGGUGACACGAGGGUGUGGCGCCAACCAUGUCUCAGCCAACGGCCAAACUCAGCGGCUUGAGCAUCUUGGAUCCCAACAGGUGGCACUGAUGUCGGGAAUCAUGGAGGUGGCAGCGUGGGGCUGGAGGCCGCUCUGAGCCCGAAGUGCUUUGCUGCCAUGUGGGCAGCUGUGACCUCGGGAGAGGCAGCUGAUUCACCUUGUGGUGGAACCCACACUGACAUCAGCUACAUCGGUGCUUCUGAAAGCAGCCUGCGUCUGAAUCCCUGGAGGGCCCUUAGAACCCAGGGUGCUGGCCCCAGCCCCGUAAUCUCUGACUCAGUACCUCUGGGUCUGGACAGGAGAACAUCAUUGCUAACAAGACUAGAAGUGGCAUCACACUUGGAGAAACACAACUCUCCUCUAGGCCCCAUUGUUAACUUCUAAAACUUUAAGUCUUUCUGAAAAGAAACUUCAGAUUUAAGGGAAGAAUGAAUGGAAGAAAAAGAAAAUGGACCACAUGCUCAUUGACUGAUGAAUGGAUAACAGUUGUUCUGUGUUCAUAUGAUGGAAUAUUACUCAGCCAUUAAAAGUAAUGAAAUCUAUACCUACCAUGUGGAGGAAUCUUAAACACCUAAGGCUAAAUGAAGAAAACCAGUCACAAAAGGCCACACAGUGUGUGAAUCUGGUGUGAUUUGUCCAGAAUAGGCAAAUUCAAAGACAGUAGAUAAAUGGUUGCCAAGCACUGGAGGCAAGGGUGGAGUGCAGAAUGACCGGUUAUUGGGUUUCCCUUUGGAGUGACAAACACAUGCUAGAAUGAGACAUUGAUGAUGGUUGCACCAUAACAGGGACGUCCUUUGUACCACUGAAUUGUGUGCUUCACGUGGCUAACCCAGUCGAUUUUUUUCCAAUAAAAAAAUGGGAAAUGUGAGUGUUAUUUUAACUCAAGUUGCUGGACAGCUGAAAGGUUUACAGGAUGACAGUGGCUCUCAGGGCUCAUUGCAGAAAGGGUUCCCAGAGUGUCUGGCACUGUACGCUUGUCUUAGCUACACCUUGAUCAGUGAAACCAGUCUGCAGGGGAGGCCCAGGCAGUGCAAAGUUUAAAACCCACCGAGUGAUUUGAACGUACAGCCAGGCUUGCAGGCCUAAAACUCAAGGACCAAACGGGCUGAUGGGCUCCGUGCCCACUGACUUGACCCUCCUUGCCGGCAGACCCUCGCAUCAUCUCCCAGGCUGGCUUGGGAGUGGGGAGGAGAGGUCAGGAAGAGCUUGUGGAAUUGGAUGGGCCAGGGUUUGAAAGCCAGCUCCAUUGUUAACUGGCCGUGUGGUCUGGGGCAGACUCCAUGACCCAGCCCCGUCUCUGCAGCUCCUUCCAGGCUGGAAGAGAGACCGCUGCCAUCCUGUGUGAGUCCUCCGGCCGCAGUGUCUUACUGAGUUCCAGUCUGUCCUCCAGCAGACGGUGGGUUGAAAGAUGACCUCAGAACACAAGGGAGGACCCGUUUGGGCAGAAAGUUAGUGAUUGUCCCAUCCAGUGCUUUCUGCACCCAGAGUCAGACUUCUGUGUAUCAAACCUCACAAACGGUGUAAACAGACUCUAAGAUAAAAACGGGCAAAAUUCACCUAGAAGUUGUAGUAACAAGGGAUUCUUCCAUGGAUUGGCUCAGUCCUUAUUCAGAGGUAAUAUGUAUAAUAUAUUUUUAUUCAGCCAUUAUGGCAUAGACAUGAUCUUAUACUCUAUUUUUCAUUCAGUACUUUGUGUUCUGCCCUUGCUGGGUAUCUGUAGUUCAUUCUGGAUGUUUUAAUGGCUGUGUAUUAUUUCAUCCAAUCAUCUUACUGUAAUUUCCUUCCAUAUUCCUCUAUUCUUAAGCCUUUUGAUGGCUUCCAGGCUUUCAGUAUUACAAACUGCAACCGGUGAAAAUGUGUGAGUGUAAUUUCUAACCUCCUUGACUUGUUUCCUUAAAAUAAAAUUCCAUAAGUCACCAGGUUCAGGGCAUGACAUUUUAGGACUCGUAAAUGCGCUGUCAGAUUUGCCCAGUAGAGGACUGUACCGAUUUCCCAGCGACCAGCAGGGUGCGGGGUUCAUUUUCAGUUCUUGCCAGCACCGAGUUCGCCAUCUGAAAUGGGUGUGUAAAUUGUACACACUCUGAGUUCACGUGGGCCAGUAAGUGACGGCUUAACUUUUUGGUUAACUUUUUGGACCUUCCCUUCCCCGAUCCUCUGCUGGUAGUGUCCUUGCUGUUUUGCAAACUGCUAGAGGGCACAUCGUAGGAAAUCAAUAAUCACCUUUCGAAGCAAUGAAUAAAUCAGGCAGUCCCUUCGCCCCAUAAUUCUUCAGUUUUUUCAGAUAGCAAAGGGAUUUUUUUCCCUCUUUGGUUUGUUUUCUAAGUAAACUAAACUUUAUUUCACUGAUGUUGGCAGCCUCCGAGAGCUCUGUGUGUGGUACACAAGGGUGGUGGGGUCUUCCCUUGGGGGAGGGGAUGGCAGCAAACUUGUCGCUCUUCUCCAGCCUCUCCCUGCACUCCCGUCUCGCUUCCUGUCUGCUCCUGAGAGUUGGCUCGACAGGAACGCAGGGAAAGCCAUUUGUAGAGUGCAUGGGAGGAAAAUAAGUGCAAAUAAACCUUUCCUAAGCUGUCUGGCUCUGCUCUCACCCUUUCCAGUGGGAAGAGCUUUGCCAAUGCUCAGGCGAGAGAAUGUGGACUUUGGUACCCAUAGACAGGCAGUUUGUGGGGAUGAAAAGAUGCUGUGGAUUCCACAGUGCUUCAGAUAACUGCAUCUCAUUCAUUUCAGUAGCAUCGACAACAGUUUCCCAAGCAGCAGUGGAAAAUAAUGUGUGAGACCUGCUUAUCGGCUACACCCAUGUGGUUUGCAUGCUCAGCUUCCUUGUGUGUUCUCUUCUCCAUAAGUUUGGGAAACGCUGCUCUGGGAAGGAUUCACUCUCAGAGGGUACCUAGUAGUGCUCCCUCAGGGAGGACUAGGCCAGAGCUUGUCAUCGUAACCAGUACUUUACUAAGGGUGCCGUUCCCAGGAGCUCCUCCUUACUAAUUUUUUAAAGAUGGCUCAUUGUAAGUCUGCUUCCUGCCUGUUCACCUUCUUAUUAGCAACAAACACUUGAUGACAUUUUAAAAGUGUCUCAUUGCCUGAAAUAACAUCUUCUUCCAAUUAAAAGGUAGCAAAGGCUGCCUUUGUCCUCCAUUCCCUUCCCCGGCCGUGACAUCUUGACAUCUGCCUGUGUCUCCUUGACUUAAGACCAAGCUUAUGGAAAAAUAGAAUAGGUCAUAUGCUUCGGCUGGGAACGGAUUGUUUGUGACUUGUGUUCUCAAGCAAAAAAAGGUUCUGGUUGUUUGCAGGAAAUUGGCACAGUCAAGGGUUGCUCUGUCAGAGCACAGUGCGGUCCGAGGGUUCACAUCGCUGCUCACAGGAGGAGUCUCUGUACCCCACAGAGGCGUGGAGGCCCCACCUGCUCGCACCCUUCCCCCUUCCCUGUUUCCAAUGAAGACAGUCUAGCCCUCACUGACACCAGCUUCCUUUUCAGAAUUCAGCUUAGCAUAGACUGUUAAAUCCAAGGAAAAAGAGAGCUCAUAUCCCAGUGACUUCCCCACUGGGCCUCUCAGCGGAGUCCUUUGGGGAUCUUUCCUAAAAUACAUAUUCCCAUCCCCACGCCCAUCCUGAUUCCUUGGGCCUGUGUGUGGCCAUGAAAUCUGCAGUUUGUGAAGCUUUCCUGUGUCAUGAGCAGUCUGGUUUCAGAACCACUAAGCGUCCAGCUCCCAGCUCCUGGGCUCCCCAGGUAGGACUUCCUUGACUGUCCUCUCUGGUAGGUGGUUGUGUCCUCUGCUGGGAUGCCUCCCCCCACGGGGGGCUCACUACUCCCCACAAGAGGCCUAAGAGAAGACAUCCUUCCACAUGGUGAAUUACGAUGUCUCUACCACAGAAGUUUCUGCCUAUUGGUCUCAAUUAUGUCUUAGAGCAACACAGAAGAAAUGUGUCCUUCCCACAGCAACCUUGGCCUGGGCCUGGUGCUUUGGUGACAUCUAUUACAUCAACUCAUGCAGGAACCUCAUGGAGUCAUUACCCCAGAGUUGAGGUGAGAGGACCACAGCCCAGCGCAGGGACCGGCCCUGUUCAGUUCCCACGGCCAACACUGUCAGAUGCCAAAUUCUCUGUCCUUAACUUACGCUGCGCUUCAGUCAUUUGUCCUGCAAGUGGCACUGGCUACCCGCGACCCAGCAGAAGCCUGGUGUCUGAGAGCCCUCCUGCUCCCCAUAACAGUUUCCCCACAACUAGUUUAUAUACCAUUUCUACCUCCAGUGUUUCUGUCUCUAAUAGUCAUAAAAAUUGCCCGUUUCUUUCUGCCACUCUGUCAUCACCCGGCCGCUGUCAUCUCGCUGUGGCUGAUGCAGGGGAAGCUAACAGUUUCAUGGAGCAGGGCUGGGCAGGGGCAGUGGUCACAGGCUCCGUGCUGGACACAGUCACACCUGCAGCAUUACUUUUUCUGGGUAGGGUGGAUUCAGGGUGCUGAGGCAGGCGCCCGUGUUAGAAACGUAGAACACUUUGUCAUCUUGGGUUUUUUAGGACAGUCCCUCACCGCAUCAUUUUUCCAGACUACAGUGUGAUUCUUCACUUCCCUCUGCAAGGUCUUUCUGAUUACUGCGUUAUAAUUCACGGGGCCCUGGAGACCCUGACUCACGUAGGGUGGGUGCCUCCGAGGUUCCCGGCCAUCUCUCCAUCCAUCUGCCUCUGUUGCCUCCCAACCCUGUGCGUUCUGCUUUCCGGGUGUUGGAGACGCUGCUUCUGGGCGGCAAGGAUAGGUAAACGUGUAGUCACUGUUUCGUGCCUCUGUUGUGGAAUGUGCACAUUGCCCAGCUGGGGUCACCUAUACCAGCUUCAUGGCGUCCUGUCCUUACGUGCUCCUCUCUUACAAGCAUUGAAAUGUCCCCACAUGGACAUGGAACUUUGAAGUACUUUCCUUGUGUGCAUUUGGAUUCUGUCUUACUGUAUUGUCAGACUCCCAUUGUCCAGUUUCCUCUAUUUCACAACUCUUCCUUCCUUUUCAUGCAGGGUCUCUCAACCCUGGCUGUGCAUUAGGAUAACUGGGUUGACCAAAAAGUGCUAAAUACGUCAUUAAAAUUAAAAACUAAUUUAAAAAACUAAACCUAGGGAAUGAACCCAGGGCCUCAUGCAGGCUAAGACAAGCUCAGAGUCACACAGCCAGCCAAGCUAAGCAUUUCUGCUCCUUAAAAGUUACCGGUAAGAAAAAGAAGAAAUAAAUCACUCACAGACUUGAGAGAACUAUUUGCCACAAAUAUAUCAAAGAAUUUAUGACCAGCAUAUCCUGGCAAUUCUUAUAACUCAGGAGUAAAACAAAAUACUUCACAAAGGAACAUAGAUAAAUGACCAAUCAACACAUGAAAAAGAGCCCUAGUAAGAUUAAAACCAAAUUGAGAUACCUGCUAAAAUGGCUGAAAUUUAAAAAUGAACAGACCAGUGUUGGUAAGGCUUCCUAUUCCUUUCUAAAGAGAACAUAAAAUGGUGCAACCAGUUUGGAAAUUGGUCUAGCUGUUUCACAUAAAAUAAAACAGUGACCAAAAUAAAACGUAUCAGUGAACAAAAAAUCCUACUUCUAGGUUUUUACCCAAGAGAAAUAAAAAUAGAUAUACACUAACUAACAUGCUUAACAGCUUUGUUACUAACAGCUCCCAACUGGAGACAGUACUGAUGUCCCUUAAAAAGACAAAGGGUACGUAAAUGACAGGAUAAAUCACACAGUACAAUACAGUGCCCUCCAUGGCAGAAAGGAGUGAGCCGUUUGUUCAAACAACAGCUUGAAGGAAUCCUGAGAACGUGAAGCUGAGAUCACACACAAAACAGUGCCCACUGUGUGAGGCAGCAUUCAUAUAAAAUCCUAGAACAGGCAAAUAAAACAUGGAGAAAGACCUCAGCACAGUUACCUCUAGGGUAAGCGCAUCUGGGAGUGAUUAGGACACCCAGGAAAGAACUUUCUGGAAUGAUGGACGCAUCCUGUUUCCUGAGAGUGGCGUGGGUUCCAAAGCAUAAACACUUGCCAAAACUCAUUUUCAAAAGAGGAUCUUAAAUGUUGUAUAUUUACUUGUGUGUUUGAUUCAUAUAAAUUAUAUAACAGCGAGGAAAGCUGAGCUUGAAAGUUUCCGGAUGAUUUCACUGCACACAGAGUGAGGGCCGAGGGGCACUGCGAUGCUGCAUUUGCCUUGCAGCUCAGAGACUUUUCCCACCGUCCUGGCCCCGCGUGCCGGUGGCCUGUGGAGGAGGAGACGGGGGAGCGGAAGCCCUCGGCUGGCUCCUUUCUCUCUGUGCUGGGCUGAUGUUUCCAUACCACAUUUGGGGAAUGCAUCUUUCAGCCACAUCGUCAGAGGAGCAUCCUUUUGCUCCUAGUUACUGAUCUUGAGGUAGUUGAAUGUUUUCUUCUUUCUUUCUUUUUUAUUUUAAAGAGAAUAAAACAAAACAGAACAAAGUACAUCAGAACAAAACAAUGCAAAUAACACAGCACUUCGGAACAAGACAACAGGAAAUCAACAGUGGCUACCAUAAUGUCUUUUGUUUUCUUACAAAUAAGAGAUGUACGUGUGUAGGCUUCUAUAUGCCUAGAACUUCACCUAGUUUACAAGAAUUGAUUUUAUUAUGUAUGAUGGUAUGAAAAGCUACAUUGAAGAAAAUGUGUCCUAAUGGUAGCCACUGCUGAUUUCCUAUCAUCUUGUUUUGAAGUCUAAUAAUGCUUCUAUUUUUGGUUUUGAUUGGUUUUAGUCCGCUUUCAAUUAUUUGAUUUCAGUAUGUAUGAAGGUAUGGAUAGCUAUUUUGAAGAAAACAAGAGACAUUAUGGCAGCCAUUACUGAUCUCCUAUUGUUUGGUUUUGAAAGCACGUAAGGCUCUCAUUCUUUUGUUUUGAUUGCUUUUAAACUAUUUUUUGUAUUAACUUAUUGUGUGUGAAGGUAUGGACAGCUAUUUCACAGAAAAUGUUUUCUUCUUUAAAGUGAAGUUGCUGGACAUAUUUCUUUGGAAUAAAACAUACUUCUAAAAGCUA